UGGGGAAUCAUGGUCAAUGGGCGAAACCCUGAACCUGCGACGCCGCGUGAGUGAUGAAGGUCGUAAGAUCGUAAAACUCUUUUCAGGGAUCUUAAAGCACAACCGUCAACAACGGCUGUGUGUGACUCUCCCUGGAAGAAGCCCCAGCCAACUACGUGCCAGCAGCUGCGGUAAUACGUAGGGGGCGAGCGUUAUUCGGAAUUACUGGGUGUAAAGGGUAUGUAGGCGGCCCUUCAAGUCGCGUGUCAAAGUCCAGUGCUCAACGCUGGGUGUGCGCGGGAUAC
rnacentral:rRNA from 1 species